GCUCCUUCCCGCCGUUCUCAUCCCAUUUCUGCUUUCCCUUCACCGGUCCUCGUUAUAGGUCUUCUUGCUGUGCUUUAUUUGGGGAUUCUUUCCAUCGUUGCGGUAUGUCGGAUGCGUAUCAGAAAUUCCGGUUGCUAACGGCGCUUUCUUUACGCGGAAAUCCAAAUUCAGGUUCGUGUCUUGUACAAUUCCAGUCGCCGUUCGUUCUGAUUGGAAUCUGUGUUUACAGUGAUCGGGACCGGUUUUUGCGGCGUUGAAUAACGUCAUACGUAACUAAAGGAUUCUCACCGGAUGUUCUAGGUUUUCUGCGUUGAUGUUCCCAAUCGGAAUGGAUUCCUAAUUCUAGACGGCUGUAGAGCUUCUAUGUUAAAGCGAGGAGAGAACGAUCCGUCGCGUUCGCUCCAACGCUGGGAGAUGUUCGGCAGCUGCAUCCAAGGAAGGUUGAUUUGAUUAGUGUGUCAUGGAUGUAUAAGAUAUCAGGACGAAACCUCCCUAUAUUGGUAGGGAGGCGGUUUCUGGUCGAUCUUUGUCAUCCGACCUUUGCCAUGACAGGUGCGCUUGCAUGGCAGGUCAACUACGUUAAUGGAAAAAAAGAUUUUUGGGUUUAGAGGAGGGAUCGCACGGGAAUUGCCCGGGAUUCCUCCUCUCUGGUGUGUUCCGAUUCCCUUUCUCUUUAUUUCUGUGCUUAUUAUGCGUAGCUGCCGUCAACUGCUUGCAUGCUCGAUCGCUCUCGCUCAACCGUGCUCCUUUCUAAGGUCCGAAAGGUAUUAACAAUUUCUUUGAUUUCAAUCAAUUCAUAGAUAAACGUGUAAGGAAGGUUGAAGCAACCGCGUUUGUAAGAGUAAUACGUGAGCUAAGACUAAUCUUCAUUAAUCUAGCCGGUAUACAAUCUUAAUUUGCUUAAUAGGAUCCCUUCGCUAAUAUUCAUACAGCUGUACAGUAAAGUUUCAUUUGGUUAUAUAGGCUUGAGGGUAAUUUGACCGAGAUUUGUCAUGUCAACUACUAAUUUUUUUAAUCUCUUAUUAGAAUUAUCAUUCGCACAACGCUUGGAAGAUAUCGAUUUCAUAGCUUUGUAUUAGUCGUCGUCUCCUCUCGGGAAGCUCGAUCAUGGAAAAUUAAUAAUUUAUUUGUUAGGCCGGACCAAAAUAAUACAAGUUAUUUUGAUUUCCCAUUCAAGUUCUGUGUUCAUUUUAUUCAAAGAAUGACAAGAGUACCCUGGGUUGAGGCUUCUUUUUAUGUGCGCCGUAUGAUGGUCGGGGUCUAAGUCUGUAUAUGAUACUCAACAUUUUAUUAUCGUCACAUUGUAAAACACAUAGAGAAAUGGAACAUGCAUAAAGGAAACUAAUUUGGUUCGGGUCGGAUCAAAGGAUGAUAUGAACUUCGCCAUGGAUGAGCUGUUGGAUCUGCUGAUUUUUGUCAAAGUGCUGUGUCGUCCCAAGAGUAAUCUGACCGUGUGGGUAACUUAAUUUCUUAUAUUCUUGCUUAAUUUAGCACAACAUCUCGAAAUUUUAAGCCGUCUUCCCAUUUGUUAUGAACUGAUGUUCUCUGUAUUCCACUUCCACGCUGCAAUUGUUUCGCGUGUUCUAUUUUGGUGUAACAGUACUGGAUUUUUGCAAUGGUAUGAUGAUCAUUACUGUUAUGUAACUUGCAACAGAAUACAUUGUGGCUGGCUGUGUUUUAGGUAGCCCUGGUUUUUCAGAGGAUGACGGUAUCUAUACUAAUGAGCGACUGCAAUAGAAUGGAAGUCUGUUCGUGUUUUUGGAAUUUUGCUUAGUGACCGGCUGUAAGAUAAUGUAUGUCCUACAUUUUUGCAUUUAUGGUAAUGUCUUCUCGGAUGUUAGAAAUGAAAUAUUAUUCAAGUUCAGGUUUCGUCUUUGUCGUUUGUUCAUAUGUGAGUUUGGUCUGUCUAUUUUCCAUUUAUAUUAGUCCUCUGUUUUCAGAUUGUCGUGUGCCAACAAGAUACUCCGUACCCGUGUCUCUCUAUUUAUGUUGAUUUACAGGUGUUGGUGUGUGCUGAUAAUGAGCUUCAAAGAGUUUAAAUGUCAUAUUCUUUUAAGACAAUGAAAGUCAUUUAGAGAAACAUAUGUGUUGGUGUGUGCUGAUAAUGAGCUUCAAAGAGUUUAAAUGUCAUAUUCUUUUAAGACAAUGAAAAUCAUUUAGAGAAACAUAUCCAGGUGAUGGCCCUUGCUAGUGGGGAAGAUACAUGGAAAUGACCCGUAGCUCAAUGAUGGUAGAGCAAUCAAUAAGGUAAGAGGGAGGUUAGUGGAUCGAAUCUAUUUGGAUCGAAUAUUUAUGGGUUCAUUCAGUAGAUGCCAUUUGGCCAUGCCACUUAAGGAACCUAUUGGGUCCUUAGUAUGCGGCCACGAGGAGGUCAAGUGCUGCUAAAGCCGAGAUGAGGGGACGCAUGAGCUCGACUAUCAAGCCGACCUAACUGUGGGACAAAACUAAGAGUAUUCGAUGUUGAUCAGGUAUGAAUAAACGACAGAAAGGCUCAUACAUACUUUCUUGUAAAAGGAGACCCACAUAAAGGUAACAAAAACUAAACAUUUGAGUGUGUUGGAUGUGAGUAUUUAUAUAGCAGAAAGGAAAUGUUUGGAUCAUGUCUAUGUAUCUGUUAUGGAUUGAUCAACUCAAUAUAGAAGCAGGAAUGCAAAAAUUUUGCCUGCCAUUGUCAA